rfam:Bombyx mori DNA, contig: Bm_scaf16_contig12355, strain: p50T/Dazao, build 2, whole genome shotgun sequence.
UUAACUGAAAUUUGUAUGGAUUUGGAACGUUUUCCUAUGCUUGCCGCUAGGGGCGCUGUUCUAACUGCAUACAAAUUUGAGUUA